rnacentral:rRNA from 1 species
AUUGAACGCUGGCGGCAGGCCUAACACAUGCAAGUCGAGCGAGCGGCGGACGGGUGAGUAAUGUAUGGGAAACUGCCCGAUGGAGGGGGAUAACUACUGGAAACGGUAGCUAAUACCGCAUACCAUCAGAUGUGCCCAGAUGGGAUUAGCUAGUAGGUGGGGUAAUGGCUCAACGAGGCGACGAUCCCUAGCGGGUCUGAGAGGAUGACCAGCCACACUGGGACGUGGACACGGUCCAGACUCCUACGGGAGGCAGCAGUGGGGAAUAUUGCACAAUGUGCGCAAGCCUGAUGCAGCCAUGCCGCGUGUAUGAAGAAGGCCUUCGGGUUGUAAAGCACUUUCAGCGAGGAGGCGUUACUCGCAGAAGAAGCACCGGCUAACUCCGUGCCAGCAGCCGCGGUAAUAC